ensembl:lncRNA
CUGGUGAGUGUGUAUUCUUGUUCAAAGGAGGUCACGGGCCAAUCAGCUCGGGUUUUUUUUCCUCUAUAGAGAUGUUCCCAUUGCUAAGUUCAAAUGAGUCAAACCGGAAGAUAGCCAUUGCCAAUAUGUGUGUAAGUAGGUGUGGGACAAGACAUAGCCCAGCACCUAUAAUACCAUAAAGCAGCUCCUUGCUAGCAGCUCCCCAAAUCGCGGGAGCUCUAAGGCGUCCUCGCCGAGCAGGGAGCCAGGCUUUCCCAAAGCAAACUUACAUAAGCAGCCGCAGCCGCCUCCUUAUUCCGGAGCAGCUGCGACAAUGGCGGCCACACCACUUCCCUGUUGCGACCGCACAACUUGGGAGUGGGGAAUCCGGGACCCCGUGCAAGACCUGGGGCGCAGUCCGCGCGUGGGGAGCCCACACUCGCAUUUCGAAGCCCGUGAUCAGCCGGGUGCAACGAGCCCUCAGCAUUCUUUCCUAAACAAAAGCUCCCCUGAGCGGUGCCCGCCAGCGACAGGCCACCUUCCCUUCCACCAUCCGCCACUUCUCCAGGUCGCGGCGCGGGCGCGAGGCUCUUCUUUGGCCCGCAGCAGCCCCGGCGGCGCGACAAGCUCCGGAGCGGGCAUGCGGCCGGUUCCGCAGCCCCGCGCCGCGCCGCGCCCUGCUCCGCCCGCGAGCCCGGAGCUCGCGCCCCGCGCACUCCGCGGCCUGCGCGUCUGGUCCUCCCGCGCCCUCCCGCGGCCAGGGGCGGGGGCGGCGCGCGGCCGGCUCCCCGGAGCUCCGCGGACGCAGGCGGGGAGCGUGCGCGGGGGUCCCGUCUGCUCUGGAGGGUAUGGCUGCGAGGGGCGGCGCCCCGCGGGCCGCGCUCGGGCCCGGCUCGGCCGUCCCCACCCCCACCGCGGUGCACUGCGGCGCGGAGAGCCGGGCGGCCAUGAACUCGGCCGCGGAGCGCGCGCGCGGGCCGCCGCCUGGCCUCUCCCCACCCGCUCGCUGGCCUGCGCGGUCCCCGGGGCGCUCGGCCCCCACGCCCAACCGCGGCCCACGCCCGAUCCCGCUCGCACCGCGCUGCGCCGCCACAUCCUGCAGCUGGCUGCUGCCCGAGCUCGGCGGGAACGCGCCUCCUCUCAGCCGCCCCGCCGCGCCCGCCGCCGGCUGCCCCCGCGUCCCCGCGCCCGCCCCGGCCCUUUCCGCACCCGGCCCGCGCUUACCUGCAGCUUGGCACAGCUACAGACGCUCGCCGUGGGCUCCCGCGUUCGGCAGCGCGCAAGCCAGGACGGGAUGGAGUGGGGGCACGGUGCAUCCCUCUCUAGACAUGUUCCAGAACUAGGUUGCACUUGAUGCUUCCAUGGAGAGAUCAGAUGGGCUGGCAAUGUCAGCACAUCCAUGAACCCUCAGGUCACCGCUUCUUCUGCUGCCUUGAAUGACAAACGUCUUAGAGGAUGCGACCGGUUGCAAACGAACUGAACCUAGCCAACUCCAGAAACGACUGACAAGCCUCAAGGACAGAACAAUUACUGGAUUCUUGGCUUUUUGUUAGUGGACAGGCAUUGGACUAGCUGGACCACAGUCUGUAUAAACAUAGAUACCUGCAGAUGUGAAAACUAGGACUCGGCUUCUUAGCAGCAGAGCAUCAUGGGAAAGAACCUCUGGGACUCUAGUCUCUUGGGUUCUCUGACUGGGUUCUUUGGAGGAAUCCCGUAACAGAGGCUAGCCCUGUUUCCAAUACCUCACGUGUUUCACUUGAGUAAAAGUCUUCAUUAUAAGUGAUGGAACUGAAGCAUGGCUGCAGACUCGGGAACGGGCCACACCUCGACCCCUGUUUGCAGCACUCCCGUGGCCAGGGUAGUGCGGGUGCUGAUCUUGGAGGUUGCUGGGUCUCAUGCUGAACUUCACUUCCCACUGGUUCCUCCACUUUGGCCUUUUCGGGGCAAGUUCUGCUUUAAUCCAGUCACUUACUCUACAAAUGCAUGGCGAUUACCUGCUACCCACGAGAGACCGGCGCGCCGCCAUGAAUCAGGCAGAGGGAGGCUGACAACGUCGGUCUGGAAAAGCGUUGUAAAGUUCUCCAGCAGAGGACUCACCAGUUACUAGCUUCAUCUCUUAGGUUUCCUUUCCUCCUCUCUUUCCCUGGUGUUUCCCCAACCUCAGCCAUAAGCCACAAAAGAAGCUGCAUUUCUCAAUGCUGAUAGAUGAAUUCAAGCCAGACACAAACUGGAUGAUUAGAACAUUUAUCAUCUCAUUCUCGGUGCUUGAAGUCUGAACUCAAGGUGUCCUGAAGGCUUCCCCCAACCCCUCGUUAAUUUAUUCCUUUGUUCAGUUUACAUCCCGGUCGCUGCCCCCUCUCCUCCCAGUGCCCCACCUCUAAGAAGGGGUAGGUCCCUCCUGGGGAACCAACACCCUGGCAACUCAAGUCACUACAGGACUGGUACACCCUCUCCUUCUGAGGCCAGACAACGCAGCGCAGUUACAGGAGCAGGAUCCACAGGCAGGCAAUAGAGUCAGGGUAAGCCCGGGUUCCAGGUGUUGGGGGACCCACAUGAAAAUCAAGCUGCACAUCUACUACAUAAAUUUGGGGAUGGAAGGUUGAGGGGGGCUAGAUCCAGUCUUUGU